GGCGGCAUGGCCAAGUGGUAAGGCAAGGGUCUGCAAAAUCCUCACCCUCAGUUCGAGUCUGAGUGCCGCCU
rnacentral:tRNA from 1 species